rnacentral:lncRNA from 1 species
AUUGUGAUGCCACCCAUUGGAUGAUUGUAUCCAAAUUCUUCUUCUGCUUGACUCAACAAAUCUUGAAAAGAAGGUUGGUUCAAGUAAGAUAGUGGGAUGACAAAACGCUUCUUUUGUUCCUCACCGACAUAAACGGUAAAAUAACCCUUAGGAACAUCGACAGCUUUUGGAGAUUCUCCAUUUCCUGUUGAUGAAGAUCGCUGAAGACUUUGCUUAGAAGUAACAAUUCGAGGCAAACGGAAACCCAUGUUGUAAUAUGUUCCAAGAUUUGAAAUAUGAGACACAAAGGAAUACAAAAUUUUGAAAUCUCUUUUGAGAGUUGGAAUACGAAAAGACUCUUGUUGCUUGUGAAUCCAUAGAACAUGACCUUUAUAUAGAUCAAAGGAGGGAAAGAUGAGACUGAACGCUAGAGAGACAUUAGCUCAUGACAUAUCACAUGGAUAUGUCUUCCAAGCCUUUAUGAGAAUUUCAAAUCCAUGUGAUAUAUGGUUAUUCUGUAUACCUUGUGUAGAAACAUCCUGGCCUACGUAUGUCUUUAGAUAACAACUGGAGAGGUGAGUUACACAAAUCUAUAAAGCUUUGAUAGGAUUAUGGACAUAUUAGAGACACUCAAGACCUUGUUGUCCUGAUAAAACAAAUUUUAAUUGACAUUCAAUAACAUUGUCCAUUACAUUUUGCUCUAAGGGGAUAGAUUUCAGCUAAGAAACUUUUCGGUCCUAAAGGUUUGGCUGAGAGAUCGGAAAAAUAUCUAAAAUGGAUACCGUGGUACAACUAAAACAUACGUACAAAUAGUGCUUAAACAGUAGUAUCUAAAAGUAGAAGAGAAGUCUCAUCCUUGGCAAUUUAUUUGUACCUUAGACCAAUAUCUUCCAUUGAAAUUGAAUAGAAACAUUUUAUCUACCUAAUUUCAGAACACGUUCUUUCAUUGAAAUCAGUACAUUCCCAUGUCAUGAUCCCAGGUGACUGCAGAGCAAUAAGAAAUACUGGGUUUGCUUGUUCAAAUCAAUAGCUACUUUGAGAAAAUUAUUUUUCUUACUAUAUCUUGGUGCCUCUUUACUCUUUUGCCAAUUUCAUGCAUCAAUAAAAAGAAAGCUUUUUAAUUUAAGACUACAUAUGAAAGUUCUUGAAAGAAAGAAAAAGCUUUUUUCCAUGCUUAUCGCUUCAUAAAUUCUCAUUUAUUUUUUUCACAUUCUCAAGAUCUUUGCAAUAUUCAAUUUAAGACUGCUGAACGAGUUGUCCUGAAUCAGAACAGAAAGAUCUGAAGUUAUAAUCAUCAAGUGUAUUGCCGUCUAAAAGUACAGCCUUUAUCCUAGCUAUGAUUUUGUUAGUGCAUUGAUUUCCACAAUAAAAAUAUCAACAAAAACUUUAAGAACUAAGCACUUUAUGGAUUUUUCUUGGAAUAUACACCCUUUCCUUGAAAUAGAUAGCUAUUGAGAAUUAAUGAAGUUGUAAACUGGCUGAAAAUGGACAAACUGUUUUUUCUCUGAUAUAAACAAGGUUUGUUGUAAACUUAAGUUUAUAGAAAACAAAAUAAUUUUUGUUAUGGUGAAAGAUUUACGAGAUCAAAUGGUUUGCUUAAUAUUCCUGUCAGCUACCAUAAAUAUGUGUUAUCUGCAAGCCAAGGGAAGGUUUUGUGAUAUCCCAAUUUUCAGGUAUUUUCCAAAUUAUUGGAUUUGUAAAUUAAAGUUUAAGUAUUUAGAUUGUUUUAUUUUGAAGAGAUAAUUCAAUUUAAAUUAAGUAUACUUUAAAUUUUGCAGAAAUGUCUGGGGAGUUUUGACAUCCUUCAAAGUUAUUGUUGAAACCUUAUUUACCGAAACAGAUUUAUUUCUUUGAUUUUUGUAAGAAAGCUUGUGCAUGCAUGAAUUAGCAUCAUUGUGCAAUGUUAGAAAGGAGGGUCGUUCCAUUUUCUACAACCUUUCUUUGAAUUCAUAAAGAACAAAUUUCAAGUUUUUAUUAAGAAAGGUUCUGUUUUAUUUUAGUUAACAUGAACUGAUCAACAUGUCCGAAUGGUUUACUUCUGAAACUUUUGCAUAAUGCAGACUGAUUCGGAUAAACAAAAAAGCUUCCUUCGGUCAUUUAUCAGAUUAAAGUUAGUGUUCACAUUGGAUGCUACAAAAUUGCAUAUGCAACAAUACCUAUUCUGUAGACAAGCUUUCAGCCUAAAUAGCUUUAAUGAGACUAUUUCUCUUUCUCUGUAAGAAGUGGGGAGUUCAUUUAUCUAUAUAUUUAUUUUUUGCUGAGCUAAAUCCAAAAGGUCACUGUUGAAAAUUUAUAUUGAAUGACAAAAGAAAAAGAAAAGGGAAAGAAAGCCUAUUUGUGUCAGUAACAACAAGUUUCAACUUCCAGUUUCAUUCAGGUCAAUGUUUACAAGAUAUUAUGGACCAAUUCUAAUCUGUUCACAUUGAAAUGUAGCUAGUUUGGUGGUUCGGAUUGUUCAUCGAUGCGCCUCAUGAUUAUCUUUGUUUUCUCUCACAGAGCACUUGAAGUGUUUACCAGAAUCAGAUGAUUUCACAAGCCUAAAAACAAUUUUGACUUUGGAAGCUUUACUUCAAGCUGCUCAAAUCAAAAUAACCAAUUUUCUUUUCUGCAUAUUUGCAUCUUCUUAACCGAUUUUUCGUUUUGUUGGCCACAGUAGUCAAUCAGAUAUCGCAAUUCCUCAGAAGAGAGGAUUGUGCAUCAAUUUCACUUCUCUGCUAAAAAGAAAGUGAGAUCAGCAAACGCUCUAUCUCUGCAGGGAAUUAUGAGGCUUCCCAUAGGAUGAUCAUAACCAAAUUCUUCCGCUGCCUUCCUAAGUAACUUUUGGAAUAAUGGCUCAUUCAACUAAGAUAUCAGUACUACGUAUCUUUCUUUUCGUUCCUCUCCAACAUAGACUGGAAUAUGCCCUUUUGAAACUUUGUUGGAUACCAAGGAAGACUUGGCAUAUUUUGAAGCUACUCGGUGAAAUUUUUUCUUGACGUGGAUUACACGAGUAGUCUAAUAGCCAUAUCUUGCCUCUCUUGAUCUUGAAUAUUGUUUAAGAAGAUAUAAACUUAACAAAAGAGGAUAUAAACUUCAUAAAGAAUCAAGUUUUUCAUUUAAAAAAUGUACAGAGUCUACAUUUUGUAUUUUUCUAAUCCUUUGUAUAUACUGUCUAUUUCUAGAUACUAAUUCCCUUUCAUGAGUCAUUCAAACUCCGAGUGAGAUCGAGGAAGUAGACUUCAUUGCAAGGAAUUGUGAUGCCACCCAUUGGAUGAUUAUAUCCAAAUUCUUCUUCUGCUUGACUCAACAAAUCUUGGAAAGAAGGCUGGUUCAAGUAAGAUAGUGGGAUGACAAAACGCUUCUUGUGUUCCUCACCAAUAUAAACAGCAAAGUAGCCCUUAGGAACAUCAUUAGCUCUUGGAGAUGCUCCAUUUCUUGUUGAUGAAGAACGCUGAAGACUUUGCGUAACAGUGCCAGUAACAAUUCUAGGCAAGCGGAAACCCAUGUCGUAAUAGAUUCCAAAUAUGGGACACUAAAAGGAAUACCAAACUCUUGUUACUUGUGAAUCCAUGUAACGUGGCCUUUAUAUAGAGGAAACGUUUAGGUUACUACUCAGAGAUAGAAACAAUAAGAGAAGAUGAGAUUCAAUGCUAGAGAGAUAUCUCAUGACAUAUCACAUGAUGGGUCUUCCAAGCCAUUAUGAAAUUUUCAAAUUCAUGCGAUAUAUGGUCAUUUGUACACCUUGUAUAGAAACAUCCUGACCUAACUUAUGUCUUUCAAUAGCAACUGGAGAGCUGAGUUAAACAAAUCUUUAAAUUUUAAUAGGAUUAUGGACAUAUUAGAGAUACUCAAGAUCUUGGUAUCCUCCUUAUGAAACAAAUUUUAGUUGUAUUUAGUAACAAUGUCUGUUAUAUUUUGCUCUAAUAGAAAAAGUUCCAGCUAAGAAACCUUUUGGUUGUUAGGAUGAGCUUUCAAGUAGACUAAUAGUGAAUUGAGCAUUGAUUUUGACUGUACAUUUGUUAGCAUACAUAUUGUCCACUACCAUUCUACAAUCAACAUCCUGAAAAGGACCGCACAUUUUCAGAUAAAGCUGGGGAAAUAUGGUGGUAAUGAGUUACAGCCAUUAAUGAAUAGCACAUGGUUCUGUUUUCUGACUUACAAACCAUAAACAUGAUUUUCAUUGUGGUAGUGUUUACUGGUAGGUGUAUAAUUUCAGCUGCUUCUGUUUAGUUAACAACCCUACAAGGAUCCCACAUAAAUAUGUGGUAGAUCUAUGAGUUAUUAACUCAGUACUUAGGCUUUUAAGUAAAAAUUCAAUGAACUUAAACUGGAAAAUUCUUAAUUUGGCUUCCAUCUUUUUCAACCUUUCCGAGAUCUUCUGAGAUUUUGAGUAAACUAUGUUAGAGAUCUUGCACUUAGUUCUUAAUGAUUCAAUUUACAGUUCCCCAGUGAACUUCCAUUUUAAAUAAAAUAAAGAAGUUUUUUUAAAAAAAUACUAAAAUGAAUUUUUAAAUUUUUCGUUGAGAAAGAAGAAUUAAAAACUAUGUUACGAAAGAUGGCAUAAAAAAUCAAGAGAUGAAAACAAGAAAUGUCUUUCUUCACCACUUGGUUAAUAAUUUGAAUAAAGAAAAAGAGUGAGUGAAAAUAAGUAUAUAGUAGAAUUACUAGUUGUUGCUUCAAGUAGUAUCAUCUAGUUUAUGUAAAAUUUUCAAGCCAGUGGAAUCAUUCCAAGUACUUUCAUCAUCCAGUUUCAAUCACAAAAAGAACUAUGAACAAUGUAAAAUAAUUUCAGUUCAAAGAAUCAAGUUUUCAUUUCAAAAAAUGUAUACAGUCUACAUUUUGCACUUUUCUAAUCCUUGUAUGUACUAUCUAUUUCUAGAUACUAAUCUCUUUCCUUCAUGAGUCAUUCAACCUCUCAGUGACAUCGAGGAAACAGUCUUCACUGCAAGGAAUUGUAAUGCCACCCAUUGGAUGAUUGUAUCCAAAUUCUUCUUCUGAUUGACUCAACAAAUCUUGAAAAGAAGGCUGGUUCAAGUAAGAUAGUGGGAUGACAAAACGCUUCUUUUGUUCCUCACCGACAUAAACGGUAAAAUAGCCCUUAGGAACAUCAACAGCUUUUGGAGAUUCUCCAUUUCCUGUUGAUGAAGAUCGCUGAAGACUUUGCUUAGAAGUAACAAUUCGAGGCAGACGGAAACCCAUGUUGUAAUAUGUUUGAAGAUUUGAAAUAUGAGACACAAAGGAAUACAAAAUUUUGAAAUCUCUUUUGAGAGUUGGAAUACGGAAAGACUCUUGUUGCUUGUGAAUCCAUAGAACAUGACCUUUAUAUAGAUCAAAGGAGGGAAAGAUGAGACUGAACGCUAGAGAGACAUUAGCUCAUGACAUAUCACAUGGAUAUGUCUUCCAAGCCUUUAUGAGAAUUUCAAAUCCAUGUGAUAUAUGGUUAUUCUGUAUACCUUGUGUAGAAACAUCCUGGCCUACGUAUGUCUUUAGAUAACAACUGGAGAGCUGAAUUACACAAAUCUAUAAAGCUUUGAUAGGAUUAUGGACAUAUUAGAGACACUCAAGACCUUGUUGUCCUGAUAAAACAAAUUUUAAUUGCAUUCAAUAACAUUGUCCAUUACAUUUUGCUCUAAGGGGAUAGAUUUCAGCUAAGAAACUUUUCGGUCCUAAAGGUUUGGCUGAAAGAUCGGAAAAAUAUCUAAAAUGAAUACCGUGGUACAACUAAAACCUACGUACAAAUAGUGCUUAAACAGUAGUCUAAAAGUAGAAGAGAAGUCUCAUCCUUGACAUUUUAUUUGUACCAGACCAAUAUCUUCCAUUGGAACUGAAUAGAAACUUUUUAUCUACCUAAUUUGAGAUCAUGUUCUUUCAUUGUGCCAUGUUUGAAAGGUGGGUUGUUACCAUUUUCUACUACCUUUCAUUGAAUUUAUGAAGAACAAAUUGCAAGUUUUUAUCAAGAAUGGUUCUGUUUUAUUUGAGUUAACAAGAACUGAUCAACAUUUCCAAAUGGUUUUACUUCUGAAACUUUUGCACAAUGCAGACUGACAAGGGUAAAACGAAAAAGCUUCCUUGGGUCAUUUAUCAGAAUAUGUUAACAUUGGAUGCCACAAAUUUGAAAAGCCAUCAAUACCUAUUCUGUAGACGAGCUUUCAGCCUAAAUAGCUUUAAUGAAACUAUUACUAUAUCUCUUUAAGCGUGGAGAGUUCAUUUAUCUAUAUAUUUAUUUAUUGCUGAGCUAAAUCUAAAAGGCCACUGUUGAAAUUUAAUAUUGAAUGACAAAAGAAAAGGGAAAGGGAAACAAAAUUGAGGAGAAAGAAAGUCUAUUUGUGUUAGUAACAACAAGUUUCAACUAUCAGUUUCAUUCAGAUCAAUGCUUACAAGAUGUUAUGGAUCAAUCCUUUUCAAAAGAUGUUAUGGACCAAUUUUAAUUUGUUCACAAUGAAAUGUAGCUAGUUUGAUGCUUCGGAAUAUUCAUCAAUGCGCCUCAUGGUUGUCUUUGUUUUCUCUCAAAUAUGACAUUAAAAAUUAAAGAGCACUUGAAUUGCUUACCAGACUUGGAUGAUUUCACAAGCCUAAAAACAAUUUUGACUUUGGAAGCUUUACUUCAAGCUGCUCAAAUCAAAUUAGCCAUAUUUCUUUCUUUUCGUUCCUCUCCAACAUAGACUGGAAUAUACCCUUUUUUUGAGACUUUGUUGGAAGACUCGGCAGAUUCUUAAACUACUCAAUGAAAAAUUUUCUUGACGUGGAUUACACGAGGUAGUCUAAUAGCCAUAUCUUGCCUCUCUUGAUCUUGAAUAUUGUUUAAGAAGAUAUAAACUUCACAAAAGAGGAUAUAAACUUCAUAAAGAAUCAAGUUUUUCAUUUAAAAAAUGUACAGAGUCUACAUUUUGUAUUUUUCUAAUCCUUUGUAUAUACUGUCUAUUUCUAGAUACUAAUUCCCUUUCAUGAGUCAUUCAAACUCCGAGUGAGAUCGAGGAAGUAGGCUUCAUUGCAAGGAAUUGUGAUGCCACCCAUUGGAUGAUUAUAUCCAAAUUCUUCUUCCGCUUGACUCAACAAAUCUUGAAAAGAAGGCUGGUUCAAGUAAGAUAGUGGGAUGACAAAACGCUUCUUUUGUUCCUCACCAAUAUAAACAGCAAAGUAGCCCUUAGGAACAUCAACAGCUUUUGGAGAUGCUCCGUUUCCUGUUGAUGAAGAUCGCUGAAGACUUUGCUUUGCAGUAACAAUUCUAGGCAAACGGAAACCCAUGUCGUAAUAGAUUCCAAAUAUGGGACACGGAAAGGAAUACCAAACUUCGAAUUUCUUUGGAGAGAUUGAAUAUGGAAAGACUCUUGUUGCUUGUGAAUCCAAAUAACGUGGCGUUUAUAUAGAGGAAAGGCUUAGGAUACUACUCAAAGAUAGAAACAAUAAGGGAAGAUGAAAUUCAAUGCUAAAGAGACAUCUCAUGGCCUAUCACAUGAAGUGUCUACCAAGCCAUUAUGAAAAUUUCAAAUUCAUGCAAUCUAUGGUAAUAUGUAUACCUUGUGUAGAAACAUCCUGGCCUAACUUAUGUCUUUCGACACCAACUGGAAAGGUGAGUUAAACAAAUCUUUAAAUUUUAAUAGGAUUAUGGACAUGUUUGAGAUACUCAAGAUCUUGUUAUCCUCCUGAUGAAACAAAUUUUAGUUGUAUUCAGUAACAAUGUCUAUUAUAUUUUGCUCUAAUAGAAAGAGUUCCAGCUAAGAAACCUUUUGGUUGUUAGGAUGAGCUUUCAAGUUGAUUAAUAGUAAAUUGAGCAAUGAUUUUGACUGUACAUUUGUUAGCGUACAUAUUGUCCAUUACCAUUCAACAAUGAACAUCCUGAAAAGGACCCCGCAGUUUCAGAUAAAGCUGGGGAAAUAUGGUGGUAAUCAGUUACAGCCAUUAAUGAAUAGCACAUGAUUCUGUUUUCUAGCUUACCAUCCAUAACAUGAUUCUCAUUGGUAGUGUUUACUAGUAGGUGGAUAAUGUCAGUUGCUUCUGUUUCGUUAACAACCCUACAAGGAUCCCACAUAUAUGUGGUAAAUCAAAGAGUUAUUAUCUCAGUAAUUAGGCUUUUAAGUGGAAAUUCAAUGAACUUAAACUGGCAAAUUCUUAGCUUGGCUUCCAUCUUUUUCAAACUUUCUGAGAUCUUCUGAGAUUUUGAGUAAACUAUGUUAGAGAGAUCUUGCACUUAAUUGAUUCAAUUUACAGUUCCCUAGUGUACUUCCAUUUUAAACAAAAUAAAGAAGUUUCAAAAAUGCUAAAAUGAAUUUUUAAAUUUUUGGUUGAAAAAGCAGAAUUUAAAACUAUGUUACGAAAGAUGCAUAGAAAAUGAAGAGAUGAAAACUGGAAAUGUCUUUCUUCUCUAAUUGUUUAACAAUUUAAUAAUUUAAUAAUUUGAAUAAAGAAAAAGAGUGAGUGAAAAUAACAAUGUAGUAGAAUUACUAGUUGUUACUUCAAGUAGUAUCAUCUAGUUUAUGUAAAAUUUUCAAGCCAGUGGAAUCAUUCCAAGUACUUUCAUCAUCCAGUUUCAAUCACAAAAAGAACUAUGAACAAUGUAAAAUUAUUUCAGUUCAAAGAAUCAAGUUUCCAUUUCAAAAAAUGUAUACAGUCUACAUUUUGCACUUUUCUAAUCCUUGUAUAUACUAUCUAUAUCUAGAUACUAAUCUCUUUCCUUCAUGACUCAUUCAACCUCUCAGUUACAUCGAGGAAACAGUCUUCACUGCAAGGAAUUGUAAUGCCACCCAUUGGAUGAUUGUAUCCAAAUUCUUCCUCUGAUUGACUCAACAAAUCUUGAAAAGAAGGCUGGUUCAAGUAAGAUAGUGGGAUGACAAAACGCUUCUUUUGUUCCUCACCGACAUAAACGGUAAAAUAGCCCUUAGGAACAUCAACAGCUUUUGGAGAUUCUCCAUUUCCUGUUGAUGAAGAUCGCUGAAGACUUUGCUUAGAAGUAACAAUUCGAGGCAGACGGAAACCCAUGUUGUAAUAUGUUUGAAGAUUUGAAAUAUGAGACACAAAGGAAUACAAAAUUUUGAAAUCUCUUUUGAGAGUUGGAAUACGGAAAGACUCUUGUUGCUUGUGAAUCCAUAGAACAUGACCUUUAUAUAGAUCAAAGGAGGGAAAGAUGAGACUGAACGCUAGAGAGACAUUAGCUCAUGACAUAUCACAUGGAUAUGUCUUCCAAGCCUUUAUGAGAAUUUCAAAUCCAUGUGAUAUAUGGUUAUUCUGUAUACCUUGUGUAGAAACAUCCUGGCCUACGUAUGUCUUUAGAUAACAACUGGAGAGCUGAAUUACACAAUUCUAUAAAGCUUUGGUAGGAUUAUGGACAUAUUAGAGACACUCAAGACCUUGUUGUCCUGGUAAAACAAAUUUUAAUUGGAUUCAAUAACAUUGUCCAUUACAUUUUGCUCCAAGGGGAUAGAUUUCAGCUAAGAAACUUUUUGUCCUAAAGGUUUGGCUGAGAUAUCGGAAAAAUAUCUAAAAUGGAUACUGUGGUACAACUAAAACAUACGUACAAAUAGUGCUUAAACAGUAGUAUCUAGAAGUAGAAGAGAAGUCUCAUCCUUGGCAAUUUAUUUGUACCAGACCAAUAUCUUCCAUUGAAAUUGAAUACAAACUUUUUAUCUACCUAAUUGAGAACAUGUCCUUUCAUUGAAAUCAGUACAUUCCCUUGUCAUGAUUCCAGGUGACUGCAGAGCGAUGAGAAACAUUGGGUUUGCUUGUUCAAAUCAAUAGCUACUUUGAGAAAAUUGUUUUUCUUACUAUGCCUUGGUGUAAAUGCACUACAUAUUUUAGAUCAGGUAGCCAAUUCAUGCAUCAAUAAUAAAAUUUCUUAUCUAAAAAAGAAAUGCGAUGUUGAUUGUGAAUAUUUUCUUGGCAUAAGAUAAGACAGUCAGUUGAAGCGGUGAAGCUAUAUUUGGAAUAGAAAACUGGUAAUAGAUAUGUGAACAAUAUUUAUCCAUUGCUCUAAGAUAAACAUCCUUUAAUGCUUGCUCAUUGAAAUACUUCCACGGUUCUGAUGCCUAGAGUCUUGCCUUUUGCUACUUGGAUUUCUUUUUUCUGUUUCUUACUGAUGAUUACAUUACCAAAAUCUGUUACACUCAAAUUAUCAAUUGACUCAAAAGCUUUACUUCAAGCUGCUCAAUUCAAAUUAGCUAAUUUCCUUUUCUGCAUAUUUGCAUCUUCUUAACCGGUUUUUCGUUUUGUUGACCAUAGUAGUCAGUCAGAUAGGCCACUUCCUCAGCAAGGAGAGGAUUGUGCAUCAAUUUUAAUUCUCUGCAAAAAAGGAAAUUAGAUCAGCAAAUACUUUAUCUCUGCAGGGAAUUGUGAGGCCUCCCAUACGAGUACCAUUCCUAAAUUCUUCGUCUGCUUUACUCAGUAAUUUUUGGAAUGAUGGCUCAUUUGAGUAAGAUAUCCGUACUACAUAUCUUUCUUUUAGUUCCUUUCCAAGAUAGACUGGAAUAUAGCCUUCUGAGACUUUGUUGGAAGACUCGGCAGAUUUUGAACUCGAUGAAAAAUUUUCUUGACAUGGAUUACACGAGGUUGUCUAAUAGCCAUAUCUUGCCUCUCUUGAUAUUGAAUAUGGUUUAAGAAGAUAUAAACUUCACAAAAGAAGACAUAAACUUCAUAAAGAAUCAAUUUUUUCAUUUAAAAAAUGUAUACAUUCUACAAUUUGUACUUUUCUAAUCCUUUGUAUAUACUAUCUAUUUCUAGAUACUAAUUUCCCUUUCAUGAGUCAUUCAAACUCCGAGUGAGAUCGAGGAAGUAGGCUUCAUUGCAAGGAAUUGUGAUGCCACCCAUUGGAUGAUUAUAUCCAAAUUCUUCUUCUGCUUGACUCAACAAAUCUUGGAAAGAAGGCUGGUUCAAGUAAGAUAGUGGGAUGACAAAACGCUUCUUUUGUUCCUCACCAAUAUAAACAGCAAAGUAGCCCUUAGGAACAUCAACAGCUUUUGGAGAUGCUCCGUUUCCUGUUGAUGAAGAUCGCUGAAGACUUUGCUUUGCAGUAACAAUUCUAGGCAAACGGAAACCCAUGUCGUAAUAGAUUCCAAAUAUGGGACACGGAAAGGAAUACCAAACUUCGAAUUUCUUUGGAGAGAUUGAAUAUGGAAAGACUCUUGUUGCUUGUGAAUCCAAAUAACGUGGCGUUUAUAUAGAGGAAAGGCUUAGGAUACUACUCAAAGAUAGAAACAAUAAGGGAAGAUGAGAUUCAAUGCUAGAGAGACAUCUCAUGUUCUAUCACAUGAUGUGUCUUCCAAGCCAUUAUGAAAAUUUCAAAUUCAUGCAAUCUAUGGUCAUUUGUACACCUUGUAUAGAAACACCCUGGCCUAACUUAUGUCUUUCGAUAGCAACUGGAGAGGUAAGUUAAACAAACGUUUAAAUUUUAAUAAGAUUAUGGACAUAUUAGAGAUGCUCAAGAUCUUGUUAUCCUCCUGAUGAAACAAAUUGUAGUUGUAUUCAGUAACAAUGUCUAUUAUAUUUUCCUCUAAUAGAAAAGGUUCCAGCUAAGAAAUCUUUUGUUGUUAGGAUGAGCUUUCAAAUUUAUUGAUAGUGAAUUGAGUAAUGAUUUUGACUCAUUUGAUAGCAUACAUAUUGUCCACUGCCAUUAUUAAAAUGAACAUCCUAAAAAGGACCCCACACUUUUAGACAAAGCUGGGGAAAUAUGGUGGUAAUCAGUUACAGCCAUUAAUGACUAGCACAUGAUUCUGUUUUCUUACUUAUCAUCCAUAACAUGAUUCUCAUUGGUAGUGUUUACUGGUAGGUGUAUAAUUUCAGCUGCUUUUGUUUAGACCCUACAAGGAUCCCACAUAUAUAUGUGAUAGAUCUAUGAGUUAUUAUCUCAGUAAUUAAUCCCUCAAGUGGAAAUUCAAUGAACUUAAACUAGUAAAUUUUUAAUUUGGCUUCCAUCUUUUUCAACCUUGCUGAGAUCUUUUCAGAUUUUGAGUAAACUAUGUUAGAGAUCUUGCACUUGGUUAACAAUGAUUCAAUUUUGAGUUCCCUAGUGAACUUCCAUUUUAAAUAAAAUAAAGAAGUUUAAAAAAUACUAAAAUAAAUUUUUAAAUCUUUCUUCACCACUUGGUUAAGAAUUUGAAUAAAGAAAAAGAGUGAGUGAAAAUAACUAUGUAGUAGAAUUACUAGACGUUGCUUCAGGUAGUAUCAUCUAGUUUAUGUAAAAUUUCAAGCCAGUGGAAUCAUUCAAGUAGUUUCAUCAUCCAGUUUCAAUCACGAAAGGAACUAUGAACGAUGUAAAAGAAUUUCAGUUCAAAGAAUCAAGUCUUUCAUUUCAAAAAAUGUAUACAGUCUACAUUUUGCAUUUUUCUAAUCCUUGUAUAUUCUAUCUAUUUCUAGAUACUAAUCUCUUUACUUCAUGGGUCAUUCAAACUUUUGGUGAAAUAAAGGAAAAAGUCUUCACUGCAAGGAAUUGUGAUGCCACCCAUUGGAUGAUUGUAUCCAAAUUCUUCUUCUGCUUGACUCAACAAAUCUUGAAAAGAUGACUGGUUCAAGUAAGAUAGUGGGAUGACAAAACGCUUCUUUUCUACCUCACCGACAUAAACUGUAAAGUAUCCCUUUGGAACAUCGAUAGACUUUGGAGAUGCUCCAUUCCCUGUUGAUGAAGAGCGCUGAAGACUUGGCUUAGCAGUAACAAUUCUAGGUAGACGGAAACCCAUGUUAUAAAUAUGCACCAAAAAGAACUUGGAAAAUUGCUUUUGAGAGUUGGAAUAUGGAAAGACUCUUGUUGGCUGUGAACCCAAAUGACAACCUUUAUAUAGAUGAAAGGCUUAGGUUAAUCAGAGAUAGAGAUAAGGAAGGAAGAUGAGAUUCAAUACUAAAGAGACAUUAGCUUAUAACUUAUCACAUGAGUGUGUCUUUCUAUGUACCUUAUGCAGAAACAUCAUGUCCUACUUUCGUCUCCAAAUAACAACUGGAAAGUGAGUUAAAAAAUCUCCAAAAUUUUAAUAGGAUAAUGAACAUACCAGAGGCACUCAAGCCCUUGUUGUCCUUCUGGUGAAACAAAAUUUUAGUUGCAUUUAAUAGUUCUGUCUAUUACAUUUCACUUCACAGGGAAAGGUUCCAGCUAAGAAACUCUGUUGGUUGUUAGUGUUAACUGUUAGCAGAGAGACUAAAAAAAUAUUAAACACUUUCCAUCAAGUUACAAAUUGAUGUUGGAUUGUUAUCUUUAAGAAUGUACUAAAAAUUAUGCCAUCAAACUUAAGAUUCCGAGUUUUCGCGUUUGGUGAUACGGAUCACUGUUAUACAUUUUUGUUUGAUCAAUAAAAUAAAUAUUAAAAACCUUUAUAUCACAAGAAAAUUUUCGUCUUCCAACUAUAAAUCGAUAUACACAACUAACAUAACCAAUGAAUAUGCAAUCAACAGUUUUUGGUUCGAUUUUAACCAUUUUCGGUUUAGGCACGACAACUUUUGUUAGGCACCCCAUACUUUUAAGAAUUUAUAUGAAGGUUUUCUUCCUUUCCACUUUUCAUAAGGAAUAUUUGGUGACUUCUUAUGAAGAAUUCUGUUUAAUAAAUAAUUUGCUGUUAACAAAGUUUCUCUCCACAAAUUUUGGGGUAAACCUGAACUUAUAAACAUUGCGUUCAUCAUUUUCUGAAGUGUUCGAUUUUUUCGUUCAGCAAUUCCACUGGAUUGAGGUGAGGAAGGAGCAGUAGUUUGGUCAAUAAUGUCAUGUUCUGAACAAAAUUGUUCAAAAGGAGGACCAUAUUCACCACCUCGAUCACUUCUUAUUGCCUUCAUUUUUGUGCUAAGUUGAUUUUCAACCUUUUUUUUUUAUAAGGCUUAAACACUUCAAUUGCUUCAUCUUUGCUUUUCAGCCGAUAAACAUAACGAUAUCUUGUGCUAUCAUCGAUAAAAGUAAUAAAAUACUUUUUUCCACCUCUAAUUUGCACAAAUUUCAAGUCACAAAUAUCAUUAUGAAUUAACUCUAAAGGUUUGGUAAUUCUCUUAGUUGAAUGAAAAGGUGCUUUAGUCAUUUUUUAUUCCACACACACUUCACAUCGAUGAUUUGUGUGAAAAGUAAAUUUUGGAACCAAGUUCAUAUUAAUUAGCCUUCGCAAAGAAUUAAAAUUAACAUGUUCUAGUCUACCAUGCCAAAGAAAUGACUCAACAAUAUAAGCAAAAUUAGAUAAUUUAUUAAUAAUACUUUUCGGUACAACUAUGAAUACAUUUGAUUUAAAUAGACCAUCACUCAAAUAAUCCUUUCCAAUGUACAUCUCAUUCUUGGAAAGUACAAACUUAUCAGAUACAAAGACCAACUUAAAGUCAUUCUUACUAAGCAAUGAACCAGAAACUAAGUUCUUGCGAAUGUCAGGAACAUGAAGCACAUUGUUGAGAGUGAGUUCCUUGCUAGAGGUCAUUUUAAGAAUCACUUUGUCUUGUCCCUCAACCUUUGAAGUAGAGGAGUUACCCAUAAAUAGUUGUGCUCCACUAGAAACGGGCACAUAUGAUGUGAACAUAUCCUUGUUGGCACAAAUAUGACGAGUAGCCCCAGUGUCUACCCACCACUCCUUGGAAUUGUCCACCAUGUUGCAUUCUGAAAUGACUGCACAAAGGUCAAUAUUUGCAACAUCAUCUAAACAAAAGCUUUUCGCUUGCAUUGCUCCAAGGAGGUACUACAAGUAUAUACAUUCAUGUAAAAUGGAGAAUGCCCUUAUGAUACUCCUUAUUCCUCUUAUUAAUAAUCUCAAACAUCAUUUUAAUACAUGUGACGGCAUGAUUUUUUUAGGAGAUCGCCUAAAGAGAAAAAUAGUGAAAAGCAUUUUGUUAACACUAAUGACCAACAACUCUCAUUAUCAUUCAAUGAAUGUCGACAAAUUCGAAAAGCCCAUCCUUUUUUAUUGAAGACUGAACUAAAAUGGUUUGUUCAAUGCUUUACACAAUUGUUAUAUUGUACUUCUUUUUCAUGCACUGAUCAGUAUGAGAUAGGACAUUGGUUACAGGCUUGUGUGGGAGUUAUUGCACUUGAGUUCUUUUGCAAGCCUGAGAAUGACAGGACUUGAGAUCAGCCUAAGAAGACAUUUUUGUAUCUUCCAAAGGUGGAAUACAUAUUUUCUUUGUCACUCAAUUCCUAUUAAAAAAGGAAAUGUGCCGUAGAUUUUUAAUUUUCUCUGUUAAGCAAGAGACUAGUUCGUCAAAUACAUUCUCUCUACAGGGAAGUGGGAGACCUCCCAUGGGACCGUUGUAUUCAAAUUCUUCCUCGACCCGGCUCAGCAACUUAUGACAUGAUGUCUCAUUCAAGUAAGAUAUUGUUACUUCAUAUUGUUUCUUUUCCUAUUCUACAACAUAGACUGGAGUAUACCCUUCUGGAAUAUUGUUAGGUAAUAAAGAAGACUCUGCAGCAUUUCAAGUAAUAAUGGAUGAAAAACGAAGAAUCUGUAUGACAAUUUUUUUUAAAGAAACAUUUCAUUGAUAAAUGAAAUAAGGGGAGAAUCUCAAACACCUAAAGGUGAUUACAGAGUAGAGUGCCAAUUACUGACUAAGAAAAGAGAAACUAUAGUGAAUGAAAGGGUGUUUUGUUUUGCACCAAGGAAAAGCAGUAGACAAAACCAUCUCUGUAGAACUAUUAAAGUAGGAAAAAGAGUCACAAAAAAGCCUUCUAUUUCUCUCACCCUACAAACUCCAAAAGAAAGCACGCAACAGAGCCAACCAAGUCGCCAAAAGGAUGACCCACUAACAAGGAAGCUAGAAGAAUCUGCAUGACAUGAGGUAGUCUGGUAACCAUAUUUGUUUUUCUAGAAAUUGAAUAAUGUGUAUAAGAAGAUUUAAACUUCUAAAAACAAGAUUUCCUUCUUGGAUGAUAUAUGUAUUUAUAGAUGACCAGUCAACUGUGAAGAGUCUACAAAAUGUGGCAAAGUUAAUGUGGGUGCCGUUAUAGAAUGAACAGUAGCAACAUAUGGAAACAUCACAUGAGGUUUUUUCUCAAACUGAUUGAUACCAACUUGGUAGCGAUAGCGACUGUACAUGUUGUUAUACUUCACAACCAUUCUGGAAUGAACAUCCUAAAAGGGACCCUAUUUUCAAAUAAAACUUGAGGAAAAAUACUAAAAAAUACAUUAGAGUCACGUGGAUAACACAUGGUCUGACUUAUCUUCAAUAACAUGAUUCUCAUUUGAAGGUGUCCAAUCUCUCUACCAAUACUUGGUGAACAACCCUACGUUGACUCCACUUACAACCGUGGUAGAUUUAUGAGUAUUAGCUCACCUGAAUCAAGUGCAUAAUGUAGUAUUAGUCCAUCUUCUUGAUAUGAUAUACUGAGUACUUUGUUUACCAUUGUACAAUAAAUCUCUAAUUCAGGGUGGCCUUAAACUAACUAGUUCUUAAUUAUGUUUGCAUCCUUUUCAAUCUUGCUGAAACUUUGAGCAUACCUUCUGAAUGAUCUUGCAUUAAGAUAAAUAUUUAUUGGAAGCUAUGUUUGAAAUUCCAAAGCGAGCUUCCUCUCCAAAUUAAAGCAUUCUGUAAAUUUGUUUAUUUGAAGCUUCUAGCUGAACACAAUUAGAAUCUUAUUAUCAGAUUAUUUUGUUUCAAGUAAUACUUUGAAAAUUAUAACAUUAAUCAAAUAAAUUAAGUUAAUGGAAGAAACUUAAAUGUCUUUCUUGACCUUUUGAAAAUCAAAUGAAAAGAGAAAAAAAGAGUUAAAAAGAAAAGUCUAAAGUAGGGUGCAUCAGCUCCUUCUCAGAAGAAGCCAUUGGCAUUUUUUCUGGUAAAAAAGAAGUAAAGAAAUAAAUUUUACAUACAAUCAAUGUGAAGGGUAAGAGGAAAGGAAGAAUGAGUUUUCAUUCACAAAUAUCAUCUACUUUCAAUAAAAGAAGAAAAAAAAUUGUGGACAGUAUACAACAGUUUCAACAAAUCGGGUUUGCACAUAGAAAAAAUGUUUGCAUUGUUUCUACACUCUAAUUCAUUUUCUUUACACUAUCCAUUCCUAGAUGUUCAUCUCUUCUUCAUGAUUCAUUCAAACUCUGAGUGAGAUCGAGGAACUCGUCUUCAUGGCAAGGAAUUGUGAUGCCACCCAUUGGAUGAUUAUAUCCAAAUUCUUCUUCUGCUUGACUCAACAAAUCUUGGAAAGAAGGCUGGUUUAAGUAAGAUAGUGGGAUGACAAAACGCUUCUUAUGUUCCUCACCGACAUAAACUGUAAAAUAGCCCUUAGGAACAUCGACCACUUUCGGAGAUGCUCCAUUUCCUGUUGAUGAAGAUCGCUGAAGACUUUGCUUAGCAGUAACAAUUCGAGGCAAACGGAAACCCAUGUUGUAAUAUGUUCCAAGAUUUAAAAUAUGAGACCUUGAAAGGAAUACCAAACUUCUAAAUUUCUUUCGAGAUAUCGAAUAUGGAAAGGCUCUUGUUGCUUGUUAAUCCAUAUAACAUGACCUUUAUAUAGAUGAAAGGCUUAGGUUACUCAAAGGUC